rnacentral:rRNA from 1 species
GGGUCAGUAGGUUGGUCGUGCCACCGGUACGUACUGGUCUCAAUGAUUCCUCCUUCCUGAAGGACCGUAAUGCCAUUAAUUUGGUGUUGCGGGGAAACAGGACUGUUACUUUGAAAAAAUUAGAGUGUUUAAAGCAAGCUAACGCUUGAAUACAUUAGCAUGGAAUAAUGAAAUAGGGCGAUCGAUCCUAUUUUGUUGGUUUCUAGGAUUGACGUA